rnacentral:rRNA from 1 species
ACGCUGACAGAAUGCUUAACACAUGCAAGUCAACUUGAAUUUGGGUUUUUAACUUAGAUUUGGGUGGCGGACGGGUGAGUAACGCGUAAAGAACUUGCCUCACAGCUAGGGACAACAUUUAGAAAUGAAUGCUAAUACCUGAUAUUAUGAUUUUAAGGCAUCUUAGAAUUAUGAAAGCUAUAAGCACUGUGAGAGAGCUUUGCGUCCCAUUAGCUAGUUGGAGAGGUAACAGCUCACCAAGGCGAUGAUGGGUAGCCGGCCUGAGAGGGUGAACGGCCACAAGGGGACUGAGACACGGCCCUUACUCCUACGGGAGGCAGCAGUGGGGAAUAUUGGACAAUGGACCGAGAGUCUGAUCCAGCAAUUCUGUGUGCACGAUGAAGUUUUUCGGAAUGUAAAGUGCUUUCAGUUGGGAAGAAAAAAUGACGGUACCAACAGAAGAAGUGACGGCUAAAUACGUGCCAGCAGCCGCGGUAAUACGUAUGUCACGAGCGUUAUCCGGAUUUAUUGGGCGUAAAGCGCGUCUAGGUGGUUAUGUAAGUCUGAUGUGAAAAUGCAGGGCUCAACUCUGUAUUGCGUUGGAAACUGUAUAACUAGAGUACUGGAGAGGUAAGCGGAACUACAAGUGUAGAGGUGAAAUUCGUAGAUAUUUGUAGGAAUGCCGAUGGAGAAGCCAGCUUACUGGACAGAUA